AAGACAGAGCAAUCCGUUCAGUUGGUGGAGCAGGAAAGAGGCUGAAAGGACGACGGCAGCUCCAGGAAAACGGACGGGUUGGAGUGGAGAACGAACGGGAAGAACCGGAGAGAAAACCAGACGAGAAGAAAAAGAUGCGGGGAUGGGAGGAGAUGUGGAAAAACUGGACAGGAUGGCGAACAGCUGAAGAGUGAGAAAGUAUGACAUUCAUAUUCUUCAGGAACUUCUCCUGGUCAGAGCUUUAGCUGCCCUGAACAUAUGGCGACCGUGCUAACACCGAGGCAGACGCUCUUCUUCAGACUGGUUGAGUUUUCCAAGGAACUCGCGAUGCCAUUCCUCAGUCCAGAUCGAUCACUCCAACAUAUGCAGCAGAUUGAAUCCAGUCCAGGUUCCUCAGUGGUGCAUCUAUCAUCAAAUCAUUCCAACUGGUUUUCCAUGAACAUCCGGUUCCUCUACUAACACUGUUUUUGAUUCUCGCAUUUCUUCUUUCAUGUUUUUCUACCCUGAAUAUGUGCUUCCUGUUCUGUAAAGGUUGGUAAAACUACUCACACCUGAUACAGUCGUUCAACUAAGAACUGUGAUGGAUUCCUUGUAUGAUCCAAAGCACAAUAAACUUCUUAUGCAAGAUA